GUGCUAGCAGUGCAUAGUCUCUUUUGGGUUCUCUCUCACCCUCUCUCUGCCCCUCCCCCACCUAAUAAAUAAAUAAAAUUAGAAAAAAAAAGAUUCAGAGGAAGAAAUACUCUAUCCCCACCCUGGAACCUAAGGCACUCACUAGAACAGUACCUGAGGAUGGGAAUAAAGUGUGUCUUUCCCCAUUUUACCUACCAGGCUCAACAUAUGGUACACACCCCAUAAUAUUGACUGUCUCUUCUCUUUCAUAGUCAUCCUCCUACUAUUGGAAACUUUGUUGAAGAAACAUGGGAAGAUUUAGAAAUUUAUAAUUUGCAAUCCAGCCCUCAAAAUACCAGGAAAGUACAACUAGUCCUUCUGGGGAUGUUUUCUCAAUUCUUCUUCAGAUUUCAUAGAAGAAACCUGAGGUCUGUGAUUAAAAGAAGAAACCAAGGCUCAAGGAGAUUAAGUAAUUUGCCUACAACUGCAUCACUUAGGAGGUGAAGCCAGAGCCUGAAGAAAGCAGUUUGAAGAAGGCAACCUUCCUCCAAGUCCUUCACCUACACUUUAGAUUUAUCUUCCUUGCUAGCUUUUGAAGUGUCUGAAAAAUGGGGGGCCUGGGUGGCUCAGUUGGUUGAGGGUCAUGAUCUCACUGUGAUCUGUGAGUUCUGUGAGUUCGAGCCCUGUGCCGGGCUCUAUGACGACAGCUCAGAGCCUGGAGCCUGUUUCAGAUUCUGUGUCUCCCU